rnacentral:rRNA from 1 species
UUGUUGCGGUUAAAAAGCUCGUAGUUGGAGUUCUGCCAGGUGCCGCCUGCCCGCCCCAGUGGUGAGUACGUGGCGCGCAUUUGGCCCUUUCAAGGGGAGCGUAUCUGCACUUCAUUGUGUGGUGCGGGAUCCUUGACUUUUACUUUGAGGAAAUAGGAGUGUUCCAAGCAGGCUCUCGUCGUGCACAGCUCAGCAUGGAAUAAUAGCAUUGGACCUCGAUUCUAAGCUGUUGGUUGCCAGAAGCGAGGUAAUGAUGAAGAGGGAUAGUUGGGGGCAUUCGUAUUUAACUGUCAGAGUGAAAU